AUGGAGCUGCCUGGGGUGCCCAGUGUUAACCUGGUAGGAUCUAUAGGCAGCAAAGAACAAGGGAAGCCAAGGUUUUGUGUAGUAAGUACUAAGGCUGUUCAGGAAAGCAGCAGCACACGUGCCCUGAGGUAUCAGCCACUGGUGUUAGAGGUGUAUGGUGUCCACGUGGAAAGCUGCUCAGACCAGGGAGUGGAAUGGGAGGAGCUGCUCAGGUCUCUGCUGCAGUCUGGAGGCUUUCAGGUGUCACAGCCCUCUGCCUCUGCACCAGUAGUUGGUAGGAAGGCACUCACAGGCUGUUCUCACCCUGUUCCAGAUGCUGUGGUUGGGAUCCAAUCAUCCAUUUCCCCAAGCCAAAACACAAAUGGAAUUAGGGGUAUUUCUGCCCAUCUUCUCACGUGUUUCAGCAUCAGGAAAAGCAGAAACAAGCAGAUAGGUUUGUCAGGUGUGACCCUGCUGAAUUUCCUCUUUAUUGCAGGAGGAGGCUGUGGGCCCACUGCCGGAGAAAAAGCCACGAGGAAGGCCGAAAGGAAGCAAGAAAGUGAUCAGUGUAACUGGACAAAUGGUAGAACCUCCUGCUGGGAAGAGGCCACGAGGAAGGCCCCGCAAGUGGCCUCAGCUGGUGACACAAGGAGCAUCUCAGGAAGGUGGCCCUCAGGGAAGCGGUGACAUGGAUGUGAACCCAGUGCCUGCCAAGCAAGGCAUCACUGGAAAAGACAGUUUCAAGCCCAGCAAAGCCUCUGCUGUUCGGAGGUCUCUGAGCAGCAUCGCCGCCGCAGCUCAGUAGUGUGCUGCCUCUCGUGUCCUGCUGGAGCCAGAGGACAGGAAAGCAAGCAGCACUCCUACUGUCCUAUUUCAAAUUGUUCUUUGUGGUGAUUUUGGCUGUGCUUUCCCCUCUGUUGUCUGCUGGCUUACCCCAAACAUCCACGCAGACUUAAGGGACAAAACAACAGAUACCUUCUCAGGGAGAUGCCUUUCUCAGUUUGUAGUAGAUUUUUUGAGGAUAUUAAUCCUUUUUAACAGUGCUAUGGUGACACAGUGCCUUGUGCUGCCACAGGUAGUGAUAGUUCCAUAGGGUGAUAGUGUUGUCUCAGUUAUAUACAGAUACAACCAAUCUGCAUAGCUAACCACUGGUCUUGCAUCAUACCACCUCUGGUACAUGACGGUGUAGUCCAGGAAUUAAAUUUUGUUGAUUUGCUCAUAGGGACUGCAUCUGAAAGACAGAGUUCUUCCCUCACCAUACCACAAAGGAGGAAAAAAAAAAAAAAAAAAAAAACCCAAAAACCAACUUGAUGGCAUUUCCAGCUUACCUACAGUUGUCGCUCCAGUGGUCAGCGACUUGGAUGCUUCAGAGGAAAGCUCACACCCCAGACCUCAGGGGUUGACUCUGAAAUGUUUCUCCUGGUGUUAGCAGCUCAGGGCCAUCUUCCAUACCUCGCUGUUGCCUCGUGGCACAGCCCUGAAUUUAUUAGCAAUUUUCAUGAACAUGUUUACAAAGCUUAGUUAUAGCCACUGGAUUUCAUCACUUCCAAGGAGUGCCUGUAAAGAACCAAAGUGAUUCAACGGCUGCUGCUUUGCAGAGCUUCGGGAUACAACUGAAAUUACUGUUGCACCUGCAUGCAUAAUGUGCUCUGUGGGGUCCUCUAGUGUUGCAGCUGUGCAAAUAAAAGCUGGCUGCUACCUAGCA
rnacentral:lncRNA from 1 species